rnacentral:rRNA from 1 species
UACGGGGGGGCAAGCGUUGUUCGGAAUUACUGGGCGUAAAGGGCUCGUAGGCGGCCAACUAAGUCAGAUGUGAAAUCCCUAGGCUCAACCUAGGAACUGCGUCUGAUACUGGAUGGCUUGAAUCCGGGAGAGGGAUGCAGAAUUCCAGGUGUAGCGGUGAAAUGCGUAGAUAUCUGGAGGAACACCGGUGGCGAAGGCGGCGUUCUGGACUGUUUCUGACACUGAAUAACGAAAGCCAGGGGAGCAAACGGG